UCUCCGUUGGUGAACCAGCGGAGGGAUCAUUACUGAGUUACCGCUCUACAACCCUUUGUGAACAUACCUAACUGUUGCUUCAGCGGGCAGAGGUCCCUCGCGGAUCUCUCCCGGCAACGCCCUCACGGGCGGAGCGCCCGCCGGAGGAUACCAAACUCUAUUUUAACGACGUUUCUUCUGAGUGGCACAAGCAAAUAAUUAAAACUUUUAACAACGGAUCUCUUGGUUCUG
rnacentral:misc_RNA from 1 species